UUUUGAAGACUUCUCAGGCCACGCCCCAGCACAACAGUCUUCUGCUGCUCAAAGUGGUAAAAAAUCUAAACAGCCAAUAACCUACGACUUUGGUGCCUUAAUUGAUGCGCUCGAGUCAAAGAAGGAGCAGACACCACCCCCCAAGAAAGAUGCGAAGCCGGUCGUUGCUAAAAAAGAUGAAUUAAAAUCACUUAAUGCCUUAGAUUCCAGUGCACCAGCCAUAAAGAGAGGUAAAGAAAGAGAGACGGCCAAAAAUAAAGAAACCCAGUCCACUGAAGAAGGUUAUUCUAAAGGAAAGGGAGGAAAAGAAGAGGCUCAGAUUGCUGGAUGAGGAUGAAGUGGCUUCUGGGUAAAUAAAUACAUUAUGUUACCUUUUUUCUGAUUGGUUGACUUUGCACUUA